rnacentral:antisense_RNA from 1 species
AGAGAGGUGGGAAGGUGAUACAAACAGGUGGUCCGCUGGUAAUCCCCAUCGAGUGACUGGAUGAUCUGCAAAAGAGGAAAACAACCCGGCCAGAGAGUCAGGGGACGGCCACCAGAUGGCCCUGUGGACCGCCGCCCGACCCCCGAGCAAGCCGUGUGCCCCAAGGGCCUGACCCAAGAUCCCACAGCUCUCUGCCACUCACGCUGGAGGAGACCAGAAACCUCGAGGUGCUGUCUUCACUCAUGCACUUCACUCACUUCACUCACUCACUUCACUCACUUCACUCACGCUCCUCUCUCACACAGCCCUGAUGGAGAAGGUGGGUCCCCAGCGCGUGGGCCCCAGGAGGGAGAGGGCUCUGCUGUACAGGAGGUUCUGGAAGGAAGCCGUGCGCCUGGCUCUUCCGUCCCAGCUCCUCCCUACAUCUUCUUUCACGCUGCAGCGGAAACCAGAAUGCCUACUAAUUCCUUAAGAACCAAAGGUUCAAGUGGUGCUACCUACGUAUUUGCUUCUUACGUCCCCCCCAACGUCACUACGAUUCCACACGACAGCCCUUGAGAAUUCUUUCAAGUUUGCCAAAUGUCCUCUACCAUAGAAACAUCUCAAUUAAAACAAGAGUUUCCAAACUGU